AUUAGAAUUUAAAAACCCCGUAUUUUUUAUCCCAAAUAUUAUUAUUAUUAUGUUUUUUUUGGAAGUUUUAUAAUAAUUUUAUUUUUUUGGUACAAAAGGACAACUAAAUUAGUUCCAACAUGUUAUACUUUAAAAGCAAAAUACAUUUUGUAGCUCCGAAAGCAUUCAUCUUUGGUUAACGUGAUAUAACUCAUAAUUUGAUUUUUUUAACGGAUUUAUCUCCUUCCGCCAAAAUAUAUCAUUCUAGGCCUCGACUUGGAGGGAAUAGAAUUUUGACAGGUGAAUUGGAUUAUUAAUGAGUUUAUUAAAAAAUAUCAGAUUUAUGAAACAGCUACUCUUACUAUUGGCGUUCGGUUCUACCCAAUUGGUUGUUACCAGUGUUCACGGAUAAUUAAAUAGUUAAGUAUGAUGAGUGUUGUUUGAAGAGUU